CAGCCAGUCUCAGGGGCGGCCUCUGAGGGCCUGGGGAGGGGGAGCCUCUGGACUAGGGCGGGGCUGGAGGCGAGCUCUCCGCUCCCAGCACUGAGGGAGAGGAUCCUGAGCUCUGACCAACUCUCAGGAGAUGGAGAUUCAAUCACUCCAUCAAAGAAUAUGAGCAUUUCCGAGGCUCUUGUAAGGCAAGCCAAGAGCCAAAUCAUGAAUGAGCUCCCAUUCAAAACUGCCACAAAAGAAUAAAA